rnacentral:lncRNA from 1 species
AAAGAAGUGAGAACUGGAGUGCAAGAAUUAAAGCAUUUUCUUCUCUUUGACUAAGGUAUCUCUGCAGAUUUGAUUCAACAAGUGAAGAAGAGAGGAAGAAGAAAUACCAUGGAAUUAUAGAGGUUUGGCUUUCCAAGCCAACAUCCACUUUUAAAGACAAUAAGAGGAAUUUAUUCAACAAGAUUUAAGAGGAACAACCAUUCAAGAAUGGACUCUCUCAAAGGAAGAUGAUUUAGCUAAGCUUCUUUUCCAUGCUUUUCUUUCUGUCAACUAUCUGUUAGUUAUGACUAUCAACUGCUUUCUGUUUUGCUUGCUGCUGUUCAUCAGAGAGAGCUUAGAGCUUGAAAACUCAUCAGGUAAUUUGCUUCAACUUUAUAACAAUAUAUAUAGGUAAUAUCUAACCGUAGAAUUUUAUUUUAAAAGAAGCAUGUACAAACUUGACAAGUAAAACGUAUCAAGUAUUGAAUUGUAUGUAAUAGGUAAAAAUUGUCGAGGUUGAAAUAAUCUUGAUUGAUCAUAAAUUUUAAGAAUUUAGAUACUUGAAAUGUAAAACUAGUCAAUUGAUCUUCAUAUACUUGACAUUUAGGACAUAUUAAGUAAAUUAGUAAUUGUCGAAGGCUUUACUAACUUUUUCAAAGGUCACGCGUACCUUCGAUAACAUUUAAAUUAUUCAUCAAAAAAUGUUUAUUAUCAAAUGAUUUUUUUCGAAGGUUUUCAUAAAAUAACUUUUUCAACAAAUGUAUAAAUCUUUUGAAAAUUCUCGCUAAUGAUGAAACAUUGAAUUACAACGUAUGAGACUGACAAUCUACGACAUCAAAAUUACAAUUUCAAAAUGUUGUUAUGUAGAGGCAGAAUCCAAGACUAUCUAACCAACCAUUGAUCAAGAGUUUGAGUAGUACUUUUCAGUGCUUUUGGCAUCCCCUGAUCCUUGAUGUUUAGCAUCUUGAAUUUGAAUGUGUGCGUGUAUGUGUUCUUAGAGGUAAAACAGUUGUAACAUAUAAGCAAUUAUAUGAAAAAUCAACAAUUUCAUUCCCUGGUUGAUUACUCAACAGCCAUGAAACUAAUGAUCAGCAAAUCAAACACACAAAAAAGAGCAACUAUAAGGGGAUAUAAAACAUAGCAAAAUACAGAAUGUUGAUUGAUUAACGAAGGCAGUUAAUAUAAACAUAGCAAAAUAAAAACCUGCUAACUAUUAAUCUUACAAUUUUGCUGCUAGUAUUAGGAGAUUAGGAGAUCAAGUCAUCUCAUUCACAUAAAAAGAUUUCAAACAUAAAAUAAACAAAUUCGUUCUUCAUCUAAAAACCUUACUGUCCUUCAUCUAGUUUAGGAUUGCAUCUUUCUCUCUUCAUCUAAAUUCCUCUAUUGUCAUCUUCUUCACCAUCUUCUUCACCAUCUUCUUGACAACCUUCUAUGAUCAAAGGGGCAUUGUAAUAAUCUAAAUGACACAAUUUAAGGAUUCAUGAAUCCAGCAAAUAACAGACCCAUAAAAUUAGUACAUUUCAAUAGACCAAAUGCUAAAAGUAGCUUUAUACUACUCUAAUCUUCUCCGGAUGUUAUCAAGGAAAGAGCAUGAGCAUGGGACAAAACAACUUUUUCUUUGAUGUCCUAAACAUAAGUUUCCUACAAAUAAAAUUAAAUCUACACUUCAUUAUAUCAGUAGAGAAAGAAAACCUCGCUCCCAAUCAACAAUAUAAAGAAAACCCAUCAAAGCGUAUAAAUAAAAAUCCCUACAACCCAUGAGUUUAAGAAAAGUACCAAGUAAAUUCUGAGUAGAAAACUAGAAUGAAAUCAAUACCAAUCUAGCCCUAAACAACAUCCGUGCAAAACCUGAAUGAAAGAGAUUUUUACUCAAUACUUGUUCUAUUUCCUUGUUUCUAAAUAUGUUCAGUCAAAACCUAGAAAUCACCAUGAUUUUUCUAGUAAUCAAAGGGAGAUUCUCAAAACAAAGUUAGAAAAAACAACAUUUUCCAUGGAAACAAAAGAAGAACGGCUAUAAUCAGUGUAUAAAUAAAAUAAAAUAUGCAUAUGCAAGUGACGUCAACACAAAAGUGAGUCGUUUAGAAAUGCCAUGAAAUUGCAAAAAGGGACUAAAACUAUACAUACAAGGACAACCAGUAAAUAAAACCACAAGGAUUAUCCUUAAAAGUCAUAAUACACAUCUUCCAAACAUAACAUGAACUUGUUAAAAAAAAAUGAAAUAAAUAAACAUUCAACUCUAAUUUUACCUGGAGCCCAUCUUCAUAAUAGAAUUCGAAGUAGGAGGCUCUGAAUCUUCAAUUUUUCUCCAACAACAAUUGAACACACAAAUGAUUUGUACAUAACAUAAACGCAAAUAAUAAUAUAACACAUCUACACUAUUUUGUUUUUCAAAUAAUCUAGGAAAUGCAUGCCUUACAACUUUUUUUGUUAUCCAAGCGUGGGAUUAUAGUAAGCUUUUGCAAUCUUUGAAGGCAUAUCAGAAUGCGUUGCGUGUCUAAAGUAAUAGUUGUGCCCUCAUUCAUUCUAAAUUUCCACAACUUGAUAACUCAACUGUUGAGUUUCAGGUUUAUUUUGAAGUUCUAAAAUUUAUUGAUCUUUAAUAAUAUUUUACAGGAAAAUGAUAAAAAUAAUAUUGUCAAAUCUAGACUUAUAUUUUAAUUGUGCAAACUGUAAGUUAAAUUUCUCUUCCCUUUUUUAGUUUGAUUUGGCUUCUAAUGUGAUUAUUUGCUUUCUACCAUAUUGGUUAUUGCUAUUCAUUCAAUGAAUGAAGUCAGUGUUAGCUUCACAAAAAAAACUUGGUCAUGAUAAGCUUUUCGGCUUGUGUGGUCAAUUGAAGAAUGAUGAUAAAGUAUAUUGUCAAUCAAUGUAGGAAGAGAUUGUGAGGUUUAAUAAGGCCAGUUACUUACAUAGUAGAAUGUGUUUGCAUGCAUAGAGUAUUUUGAGAUUAUGAGCCUAAUUCUUUCUAGUUGAGGUUAACCAAGCAGUGGAAAGAGUGACCUAAUUUUACCAUAACCAAAUGGAUAUUUAGGGCUUUUUAAUUCUUGAGAUGCAAAGUAGCAAUUAGGUUUUUAUUCAAAUCAUCUUAUUAAUCAAAUCAAGAGGAUAAACGUAAAUCAGUUUAUUCAAAACAAGUAGAAAACGAAAUCAAUUACCAGGUCCGAUGAGAUUGACAGAGGACGAAGCAGUGUGAAUAACCACGAGCUUGAAUGGGAAAGAAGGUAGUGUGAUCGAGCUUCGACUGUCGUGCGUGUGGCUAGAGUCAGCCCAUGGAGCAGAAGAAGGUAGCUCAUGAAAGGGAAUCUGUCACAAAAGUUGAGGAAGAACUAUCCCUUGACGAGGUGAAAGACCAACGAGUGGGGCCUCCAUCAAGAGUCUGAAGAAGAGAAGAAGUGAUCGGUGUGCGCGACAAAUGAUGUGGAGCAAUUUAGGAAGGAGAAGAAGGAGAAGAAGUCGGGGAAGGAGAAGAAAGGGUAUUGUGGGUAUGGACAGAGAAGAAAGUAACUAGAAAUUCAGGUUGUAAACAUAAUUCAUGCUCAUUUUUUCACUCACAGUUUUAAGCUAUAUCCGUUAAGCCUGGUGGAUUUGCUCUUUCCUCUUUUUUUUUUUACCUAUAAUUAGAGAAAUAAAUCCCUAAUUAAUCAACUUGAUCCAUAAAAUUUCUAAACUUUGCUAAAAAAAUUACAAAAACUCAAAAAAUAGUCCAUUUAACACCAAAGCAUGGAUCUGCGCAUGGCAUGGGUGGUAGAGGGAUGCACGGGCACACAAUGGCCUUGUAGAGGUGUUAGACCGCUUGCUAACCUCGCUUUCUCAGUUACACACCCACCAUGGCUACUCCAAGCUUGGUCGCAAGUCAUCCCUCACAGGCGUAAGCCUUGUCACGUGGCACUUGUCGAAGCAUGCCUUUGCACUAAGCUUGGCCAACGCUAGAAAGCAUGCUUUACUUACCCUUUGUGCACCCCUUCCACACAUAACCACCAGUGCUUCCUUUCAGCAAGAACGUGGCCAAGUUAACUCUUCUUUCUUGAGAACAACCCAUUACUCCAAAGCACUUCUCUAUGUCAACUGAAUCCCCAGUUGGUUCGAAAGUCAUGGCUCCUAGCAUCUAUAAUCUUUCACAUUAUAUGUACACCAUAUAAUCAAUGCUCACUUGAUAGAAAUAAGGCUAAUGGUUUGCACACAUUCAUCAUAAUCACACAUAGAAAUCAAUAGUUUUCUCUUUUCAAACAACCACAAUAAUAAUAACAUAAGGAGAUACAAAACUCAUUAUGCAUAAUUCAUAUUAAAAAUGAAUCUAUUAAGAAAACAUUUAGUUUACAAAUCAUCCACAUAGGAGUGUUUAGUUUAAGAAAGUCACUAACGCAUGAGUGUUUAGUUUUAGAAGGUCACUGUGAGACCUGACCUAAGAACGAUAAAAGAUUGACAAUGUUAAAAAGAAGACGUUUUGACUAGAACUAGCGAUAAGAGUUGGUAUUUGAGUAGUUUGCAAGGAAGGGUUACACGAUAGGACGUUCGGCAUUAUAGUACAAUUAGGCGAUUAAGAGUCUUUGCGAGUUGGAACUAGGCGUUGAAGAGUCACUUCUGAGAAAUUUUCUAAGUUUACUUAACGGGUCACGUGUAGAAGUUUAAGCUAAGCAUGUUUAAGUUAAACCUUAAAUUUACUCGUGUACCACUAAGAGUAAGAGCUAGCGAAUUAUUGAGAGUUUGAGCAUGACUAAUCCUUUUUAGGACUAGUAUAAAUAGGGGGAUGGAGUCUGAUGAUCAAGUGGUUACUCUAAAAGAUUGAAGAGAAGAGUUAAAGUAUUAAAGUGCUAUUGAAGUGACUACGCGACAAGAAGAAUAAGAAAAGCAUUUAGAGUCUAAGUUUCUAAGUUGCGUGAGUGUUUUUCUUUCAAAGAAUUUCAUAAGUAUGAAAGGUUUUUGUUAAAGUCUUACUGAUUGGAUAUGAUGAUAAGUGUUUUCAAAGAGGUUUAUAUGAAAAACUUAUGCUAUGUUUCAAAUAUGUUUUAUAUGAUUCAAAUGAUUGAGAAAUGGUUUUCAAACCACUAGUCUUUUUCCUAUCAAUGAGCUAACUAUUAUAUGCACAUAAACACUAAAGGUAGCCAUGUAUAAAAGACGUGCAUAGUGGAAUGAGGCGAGACAAUACAUAAACAAUGUGUAUUGCGCUUCGACCUGAGUAACAAAGAAUGAAUCAAAAUAUUAUCAUAUGUUGUUGAUGAGAAGGACAUCACAAUAGUCCAAACGUGGGAUGAUGAAUCUUUGAAUAGACGAUGAUUCAACUUCUUGGCGAAAGGAAUAUUUAUUGAAUAAUGUGUGUUUGUGUAAAAUGUAUGUUUAAGAGAUUUGGUGAAUAUUAUGAAACAGAGUUUUCUUACAACCUCACUAAAUCUUUUGACUUAUGUUUUUAAAUCUUACUUUCCAAGUUUCAAGCAUUAAGGCCAAAUAAGAAAAGAGAGGAGUUGUUAGGCGAGAAGAGACUGUAAGGCAUCUUGCUUUUGAAGUUUAAAUUUUUUUUUUAUAUAUUUUACUUUUAAGUGUUGUAAAGCUAAUUGUAAAACACUUGAUAUAAGUAAAAAAAAGUUUUAAGUUCUAUCACUUCUUAUGUGUCAAGUAUUUAUAACCCCUAAAGCAUAUUCUCCAAGUUAUGUUUAAAAAAAAAACAAGUGAUUAAGCAAGCUUAAGGACCUCAAGUUGGGUGCUUUAGGCAUUUAAUGUGUCAGAUAUACUCAAAGUGAGUAAGGACACGUUCGGGGCGGGGUGUGACGGUCACUCACGCAGGACUAUUUAGUUUAAGAAGGUCACUCAUGCAGAUGCCUAAUCCUCUUCUUCCCCGAAUGCCUUUCCUCACAUAGUUCUCUCUCAGUAGCAACUCAACUCCUUGCACUCUCUCGACAAAACCUCCAAAUAAUAACACUUCUCUUAAGGCCUUCACUCCUAUUUAUACUAAUCCUUUAAACUAGUUACUUUCUUUACCCGUCAGUUUCGAAUUACAACUUUACAUGUAUUGCCUUAUCGUCUUACCGCACCAUGCAACCAAGUCCAAGCUCGACACAUAAGCCAACUGUAAACUCAAGAUUAGACAUUCCCUCGAGACACAAACCUUCUCUACUCAGAAAGUUAAAAUCUUCUUCACCUUCUUCCUUUUUGGGAAACUAAACUCUUUUUCUCGCCUUCUUCUUCCAUGCCUUCUCUUUCUCGCGACAAACCACAACUGCUUACUUCUUUUCUAACUUCGCUUCAUGUUACUUCACCAGACCGCCUAACUCUUCUUGUCGAAGAACUCCUUCACAGCGAUAACUCUCCCUCCAUCACCUUCUCUCAACGUGACUUUCCUUUGAAUUUUAUCUUUAGAAUGAUCAAUCUUUUUAUUUUAGGAGGAAGAUCCCACUCCUCGAUGCCUCUCUUCUUCAACAGAACUCCCUUUUCGAAUUUGCGUCAUACAAGAUGUUACUUUCAACAUCUGAAAAAAUCAUAAUUGAAAAUCCACUUAUCAAAAUGAAACUUCCUUCUACAAAGUUGCUUAAGAUAUUUUUAACUAUCUUACCUAAAAAUAUAUCUUACCUAAAAAUAUCAGCUUAAAAUUCCAAGUAUUGGAUUCCUUAAUCUCAAAUCUUUGAAGAUAGCUUUAGAAUUAAUUCCUUUAAAACUGAAUUUUCAUGAUUUCCUUCAGCAAUUGAGUUCCUUCCCAAAGUUUUUCCUCUUUGGAAGCUUUUACCGAAAAACUACAUUCAUUUAUGGUUCUUUCAAGAUUAAUUUCGCUGAUUUUUCACUUGCCAAAAGGAAGCACUUGAAGUAUAAAGUUAGGCUUAAAGACAAACUUUUGCACGUUCUUAAACUAACUGCUUCUACUUAACAAAAAUCAAUUUCAUGCAUGCCUAGUCAUAUGCAAUUCCACUUAAUAGACCUUUCUUCAACACCUUAUAGCUUAGCAACAUAUCAUUGGAUAAAUGACCCUCGACUUAGCUCACAUGACCCUCACUUAAUAAAGUAAUGUCGAAAACCUUUUUAUUUAACUACCUUGCUACCUUGCUACUUUGCAUCCCUUCAACACAUAGAUUGACCCUUUAAUGUCGUAUGGAGGUUCUUUUAGGUGCCUUAAAUGCAUAGACAAUCCUUUAGCCGCAUAGGUUUUCAUUUUGACACAUAGAGGUUCUUGAAAAACCACAUAGCUUACAUAAUUCACACAUGCCGCCUAGGGCACCAUGUUGUCACACCAUCAUCAUUCUUUUUGGCCCCUUGAGGGGUUCUCAUGACAUAUUCAUGGUCGUAUAGCAACAACUUGUGUCACACCUAGUUCUAGGUUUUCCCCUCUAACUUAGAUCGUGGUGUGAGUCUACUCUUUAAAAACAUUCAUUUUCCAAUGUAAGAUUAGUAAAACACAUUUCAAGAGAUUCUAUACAAAUUUUGGCAGUCUCCCCUAAAAAAUGAACUAACCACACCUGGAAAAUGAAGAAAAUCACACUUUUAUGCUUUUCAACCUCAAACGUCAUCGAGUGUGUCUCACCACUCACUCAUCCAAAAUAAUCUAGAGUCCUAAACAAAGUUUAAAUACAAACUUAAGGAUAGUUACAAGGAUUACAUCUAACAACAAUUUCCUCAAACGUGGGUUCCUUAACACAACUGUCACUGUUCCUAACUAACCUCAUGAUGAAAUUAAAACAUAAAUAUGUAGACAUACAAGGCAAAAACAAAUCAACAAUCAAUGGCGAGAUGCUCAAUGAAAGUUUGGAUCUUGACCGCUACCUUGGGGGGACAUUGAAAACAUUAGCUAAAACUCAAUGAGUGGCAAGUUCAUAGAAGGAAAAACUCGUAAAACAUGCUAAAAAAUAUGUGUAAAUAUUAGUUAAAAUGUUAUCAUCAUAUAACCACAAAUCAAACUAAAAAAUAUGUACUCAAUCCAACCAUGGCAAGUAACCUAAAUAUAUGGCCAAGAAUAACUUGCACAUGACAAAGGAUGCUGGAAUUUAUGUCAUAAAACUCGUAGUUUGUAAUCAUAUUUUAUCCAAUAAAGUCGUUAUUGAUAGUAUAAUCUUAAAGCCAAUAAACUAAGGACUUGUGGCUAUUAUUGAGUAAACUUGAACUUUAUAUGCAUAAACGUGGAUCAAGUUUGAAUAUAUAGCCUAAAUAGUCUACAGUAUAUGAAAACGAUUGGGUACCUUAUUUUGGAAACAAUAUGGAUGCAGUCCACUUUGUAGUUGUACAAACGAUGUGAUCCUAAAUCAUUCAUGUAAAGACAUGAAAGCGGGGGCUUCCUAUGUAAAGAGUUUACAUAAGACUAAAACCAUGAAAUAGUCACUUUUCAGUUAUAACACCGUUAACUUUGUAAACUGACUAUUUCAUAUAUAGAUAUCCUUUAUAACUUAAUCUUAAUUCUAAGCUAACUAUGGACUCCUGUUCACACGAGAUUAUCCUUAGAUCUGCAUAAGUGAGGACAGCUCAUUAGCGUUGGCCCAAUAAGUUGGGGACAUAAGGCACAAGACAAAAUUCACUCCUACCCACUUUAGGGUUAGUUGAUAGAUUAUUCCCUUAAUAACUGAAUCUAAGUCUUGAACAAGGGGUCCCACUCUCUCAUUUUUCUGAGAGGGAUUCGGUUUAGAGGUUGAACCUUAAACCAAUUAUUUAAUAGUGGAUCAGUGGGACUUAAGAAGCAAGAUAUAGACUCGGGGGUAAAAUGGUACUUUGACCAAGCCGAGGUUAUGAACAACCUGUGAAGGAUUAACUUACUUAUCAUGGUUCUAUCACAUGGACACAAAUAUAUCAAUAGUGAGGGGAGUGCAACUACCAAACUUUAGUGGAAUGACCCACUAGUUAACGAAUGUUGAUUAACUUGGUCUAAAAGAGUUUAGCCAGUUAAUUUCGGAUCUUUGGAUCCCAUGAUCUAUAGGUCCAUUAGAUUCCCCAACUCGCCCAAAAGGAAUCAACUUAGAAUAUUAGAAGGAAUAAUUCAUCCCCCACUCGCUCAAAAGGAAUCAACUUAGAAUAUUAAAAGGAAUAAUUCAAAUUGUUCGAAUUAGGUAAAUAGAGAGAAACCAAUGAAUAUAUGUAGACGUCAGUCAUAAGUUAAAGAUAGAAUUUUAUGUUUAAAUAUGAUUUAAAUAUUAAAAAUAUGAAUUAUACAAAUUCAUAUUACGAAUCUCGAAAUUGAUGAAAGUGGUCAAAGAUGUGAAAGGUCAAAAUGUUGACUUUUAACUUUCAGAAGUCAAACUUUAAUCGGUUUAUAUUCAAAUAUGAUUUGAGUUUUAGAAAAAUAAAUGUGGAUUCAUGCUUAGAAGGUUGAAAUUAGUUAAGACGGACAAGAUGGUAAAAAGUAAAAAUGUUGACUUUUGACUAAAAAAUCAAACUUUGAAUUUGAUUUAAAUGUCAAAUUACCAUAUUGCCUUUAGACUAACUUGUUGAGAUUUGACAAGCUCAUCACAUGCAAGUGUUACAUGUGAUUUGAAAGUGGCUUCAAGUAUGUGAGACACCUACCCCACUAAUAGUUAGUCGAAUGUCAAGUAUUGAGAUAGGGAAGCUCAUGCAAUCUUGCACAUAGUUUACUUGUAAAGAGGUUUAUUGCAAAUGUGAAAGGUCUCUAGUUUUAAAAAGGGUUAAGAUUUUAUUUUGUAAUUAGGAAUUACAAAAUAAAAAUAAAAAAAAAAACUAAUUUUACUCUCAACAAAAAUAAAAAAAGGUAGGUUCCUUCUAAAAGUUCUAUCUCUUUUUAUUUCCUCCACCAUUAGAGUCUCACAACUCGAUUCUAAGUCCAAAGAAUUGCAGGUCAACACUAGAG